AAUCAACGCUGGCGGCGUGCCUCAGACAUGCAAGUCGAACGAUUAAGACUUCCUUCGGGAAGUGUAUAAAGUGGCGCACGGGUGAGUAACACGUAAGUAAUCUACCUUCGAGUGGGGAAUAACAUCGGGAAACCGAUGCUAAUACCGCAUAAUGCAGCGGCAUCGCAAGAUGACAGUUGUUAAAGGAGCAAUUCGCUUGAAGAGGAGCUUGCGGCAGAUUAGCUAGUUGGUAAGGUAAUGGCUUACCAAGGCUACGAUCUGUAUCCGGUCUAAGGGGACGGUCGGACACACUGACACUGAAUAACGGGUCAGACUCCUACGGGAGGCAGCAGUCGGGAAUUUUGGGCAAUGGGCGAAAGCCUGACCCAGCAACGCCGCGUGAGGGAUGAAGUAUUUCGGUAUGUAAACCUCGAAAGAAUGGGAAGAAUAAAUGACGGUACCAUUUAUAAGCUCCGGCUAACUACGUGCCAGCCGCCGCUGUAAUAC
rnacentral:rRNA from 1 species